rnacentral:lncRNA from 1 species
AGCUCACUCUGUUCAUUUCUGAAAACCCAGCUCAGCAGUCAGUCCCCUUCCGUGGAGAGCUUCAAGUUAUUUAUCGAAGAAUAGAUAGCUCAUAGUAAGGAAGCAGAGGGACUUUCAGUUAGGGGAGGGUAAUGGGAGCCAAGCAACAGAGAAGGGGUGUGUACAGGAACAGGGCAAAGAGAAGGAUCAAAGCAGAGGCUUGUUUAUGUUAGAGAAUACAGGGGACAGCAAACUUCAAGUACUUCUGCAGGACAGAUAUUUGUGAUGUUGGCGCCAUUUUGUCUGAAGGCGAAGGGCUCACCACGUACUGGAUACCACGGAGAGGUCACACUGUAAUUUAUCCCAGCCAAGAAAGAAGCUGUAGCUAUUUCCAGGUUUGCAGGUGAUGGAGAGAAUACCAAGACCUAGGCUCCCCGAUCUCCCUGCAUCCCUGUCAUUUUUGGCAAUGUCGCUAAUCGGCCCAGCAGCCCGAAUCCACACGCCCUGGCGUCCAGGCUCUGCAAGGUGCAGCUGGUCUCAGGCCCUGUCUCAGAAUACAGAAGUAAUCAGAAUUUAUUCACGUGGGCUGACUGAGAGUUUUGACAUCAAAGGGCAAUCCUGUCUGAUUGAUACCACUCAAAUGGCAAUGUUGUUUGAAGAAAUGUAG